rnacentral:lncRNA from 1 species
GUUUAACUUAAAUUGAAUUUUUUCUUUAUUGAAUCUAAGAUUGUGCCUUACGGCCCUUUCAAGUACAAGUUGAAGGUUUUGGUCAUGUUCUGCUUCAUUAGCACCCGUAAUAAUCAAAUCGUC